rnacentral:misc_RNA from 1 species
GUGAUCAAUCUGUGAAGUUAUAUGAUGUUGUCAAUUAUGACAUGAUGGUCAUGAUUCGGCUACCAUUCAUCCCUGGUACUGUUGAGUGGGUAUACAAACAAGGUGAUGUCAGAGCUAUUAGUGAUCGAAACUCCUCAUAUGUAUACAUAUAUGAUGCAAGAGCAGGUUCAAAUGAACCUAUCAUCUCAAAAGAGAUACACUUGGGGCCAAUUAAAGUUAUGAAAUACAAUCCUGUAUUUGACACUGUGAUAUCUGCUGAUUCAAAGGGAAUCAUUGAAUAUUGGAGUCCUACAACACUUCAGUUUCCAGAUAACGAGGUGAGUUUUAGGCUGAAAAGUGAUACCAAUCUAUUUGAAAUUGUGAAAUGCAANGACAAUUGUUUCCACCAUGGAGGUGAGUCCAGAUGGUAAGCAAUUUUCUAUUACGUCACCUGAUCGUAGGAUACGUGUAUUUUGGUUCAGAACAGGUAAACUGAGACGGGUUUAUGAUGAAUCUCUUGAGGUAGCUCAAGAUCUUCAGAGAAGUGAUGCCCCCUUGUACAGGUUGGAAGCUAUUGAUUUUGGGCGAAGAAUGGCUGUUGAGAAAGAAAUUGAAAAAACAGAAACUGCGCCGCAGACAAAUGCUGUUUUUGAUGAAAGUUCUAAUUUUCUGAUAUAUGCAACUCUCCUUGGGAUAAAAGUAGUAAAUUUACAUACCAAUAAAGUUGCCCGAAUUCUUGGAAAGGUGGAGAAUAAUGACAGAUUUUUGCAAAUUGCCUUGUAUCAAGGUGAUCGAAGUAGUAAGAAAGUUAGAAAAAUUCCUGCAGCUGCAGCAAAUGCCAAUGAGAGUAAAGAGCCUUUAACAGAUCCCACUCUCUUGUGUUGUGCUUUCAAGAAACAUAGGAUUUAUUUGUUCAGCCGGAGAGAACCAGAGGAACCUGAGGAUGCAACUAAGGGAAGAGACAUGUUCAAUGAAAAACCUCCUGCAGAUGAACUUUUGGCUGUAUCAGAUAUAGGAAAUGCAGUCACCACAUCUCUUCCUGACAAUGUGAUUCUACAUACCACAAUGGGUGACAUUCACAUGAGACUGUACCCAGAAGAAUGUCCAAAAACAGUGGAGAAUUUUACGACUCACUGUAGAAAUGGCUAUUAUGAUAAUCUUAUCUUUCAUCGUGUCAUCAAGGGUUUCAUGAUACAGACUGGAGAUCCUUUGGGGGAUGGCACUGGUGGGCAAUCUAUUUGGGGAAGGGAGUUUGAGGAUGAGUUUCAUAAAAGUUUACGACAUGACAGGCCUUUCACAGUGUCAAUGGCCAAUGCUGGCCCAAACACCAAUGGCUCUCAGUUCUUUAUCACCACAGUCGCCACACCAUGGCUGGACAAUAAGCACACGGUUUUUGGUAGAGUCGUAAAGGGAAUGGAUGUUGUCCAGGCAAUUGAGAAGGUGAAGACAGACAAGGCAGACAAGCCAUACCAAGA